UUUAAUAUGUACACGUAUAAUGUAUUAUUAACAUUACAUGCAUUAUUGAGAUUAAUAAAUAAUGCUUAGAUUCUAAAAAGACAGUUGAAAAAAAGGCCAUAAUUUGGAUGUUUUCAUUUCAUAGAGAUAUUUCCUAAAUUUGCAGUGAAAGGGCACAACAGCUGGACCAAUAUCCUGAGCUUCCAAUCUCAUCAGAUAGGAAAGAGAACUGCAACAGAGCCCAGAACAGAAGCUGCUUCAGUCUGUCAUCAGAACCAUGAAGUCAGCCUAUUAACCACUAAGCUAAGCACACAGGAUGCUCACACAAGCCCACUUCAACGGAGACCAAAACAGGAAGUAACUCUAGCUAGAAAGACCUUUUGGCCCAUCAUAAAACUUCUGGGAUUAACAGGAUUAAUCAGAUAAAGAAAAUUGAUCAUUCACUCAGAAAUGCCUAUUUCAGAUAUCAGGGCGCUACCAAAAGGAACUGCCACUAAGCAAUGCCAAAUGAAAUCAGUGGAUGGAAGAAAAUGCCCUGUUGGAUUCUGAGCUGUGGUUUUCUUUUCUCCAAUUUAGCUCAAGAGUCUAAUUCUUAUCCUAUGGCAUUUGGGAGAAAUCCACAGAAGAGAAAGGGAAGAUUAGAGGAAGGUUUGGAAAAAUUAUUAUCUGAAACUUGUUUAGGCAGGGAAAACCCCUUCUAAACCUAAAUUCGGACACUUUGCUGGGGCUACCUAAGAAGCAAAGUUGGGCUUCCCAGAUGUCAAGAUUCAUUUAACCAAGGAAUUAUUCCAAUUUAAAUAUAAGAUAACAAAAUAAUUUUGUCCAUUUUCUUCAUAUCUAUGAAUAAUAAAAUAUUUCUUUCAUU